rnacentral:misc_RNA from 1 species
GAUGAAGAACGUAGCGAAAUGCGAUAAGUAAUGUGAAUUGCAGAAUUCAGUGAAUCAUCGAAUCUUUGAACGCACAUUGCGCCCCCUGGUAUUCCGGGGGGCAUGUCUGUCCGAGCGUCAUUACAACCCUCAAGCUCAGCUUGGUAUUGGGCCCCGCCGCUCCGGCGGGCCCUAAAGUCAGUGGCGGUGCCGUCCGGCUCCGAGCGUAGUAAUUCUUCUCGCUCUGGAGGUCCGGUCGUGUGCUCGCCAGCAACCCCCAAUUUUUUUCAGGUUGACCUCGGAUCAGGUAGGGAUACCCGCUGAACUUAAGCAUAUCAAUAAGCGGAGGA